UACGAAGGGGGCUAGCGUUGCUCGGAAUCACUGGGCGUAAAGGGCGCGUAGGCGGCCAUGUAAGUUGGGGGUGAAAGCCCGUGGCUCAACCACGGAAUUGCCUUCGAUACUGCUUGGCUUGAGACCGGAAGAGGUGAGUGGAACUGCGAGUGUAGAGGUGAAAUUCGUAGAUAUUCGCAAGAACACCAGUGGCGAAGGCGGCUCACUGGUCCGGAUCUGACGCUGAGGCGCGAAAGCGUGGGGAGCAAACAGG
rnacentral:rRNA from 1 species